rnacentral:tRNA from 1 species
CGGGGUGUGGCGCAGUUGGUAGCGCACUGGUCUGGGGGACCAGGGGUCGUUGGUUCAAGUCCAAUCNCCCCGA